AUUGAACGCUGGCGGCAGGCCUAACACAUGCAAGUCGAACGAGUGGCGGACGGGUGAGUAAUGUCUGGGAAACUGCCUGAUGGAGGGGGAUAACUACUGGAAACGGUAGCUAAUACCGCAUACCAUCAGAUGUGCCCAGAUGGGAUUAGCUAGUGGGUGGGGUAACGGCUCACCAAGGCGACGAUCCCUAGCUGGUGUGAGAGGAUGACCAGCCACACUGGACCUGAGAAACGGUACAGACUCCAAGGGGGGGCAGGAGGGGGGAAUAUUGCACAAUGGGCGAAAGCCUGAUGGAGCCAUGCCGCGUGUAUGAAGAGGGCCUUCGGGUUGUAAAGUACUUUCAGCGGGGAGGCGUUACCCGCAGAAGAAGCACCGGCUAACUCCGUGCCAGCAGCCGCGGUAUUC
rnacentral:rRNA from 1 species